CCGUCUGACUGUCAGCCUCACCAGGACAACAUGAAGCUGCUGAAAUAUCUCUUCAUGUUGAGAUGCUGUUUAAGUCUUUCCAGGACAAUGUCAUCGACCUUAGAACCGACUGACAAAUUUAAAAUCAUGGUUAAAGGCGAGCGUGCUGAACUCUCCUGUAAACUAAAGGGAGAAGAUUUACAACAACUGGAGGUGUUUUGGUUGAGAAUGCGUGAAGACGGCAACCCGCAGUUUGUGAUCUCCGGCACUGUCCUGGAUAAGCUCACCCGAGCGGAGUUCAUAGAUGAACGCUUCACCAUCAGCAGAAGCAACUUUCAAAGCUCCUUCAGUUUGACCAUAAACAACUUGCACCUCAAUGACAGCGGCACCUAUCACUGCCUACUGCCUAAGAAAUACCUCUGGGGAAGUGCAAUCCAGCUCAAAGUGGUUACAGAGAAACAGAAAGUGACUUCACCGCCUUCUACAACUACUCGGCGUAAAUCGAUACCUCGUAAACCCAAGACUCGCAAGGAAAACAAUGAGCUCAAAUGUGGCUGGAUAGUCUGGAGUCCAUUCAUCGCAGUCAUUGCGUUGUUGCUCAUUUCCAUCGCUACUGUUGUCAUCCAUCAUAGAAAUCGUCGAAGGCGAUGCCGUCACCAUUUUCGGAAGAGGUAUGCUUAACACAUCCACGGGCUUUGAAGAAAUGCAAAGAGAGAGAGACAGAGAGAGGAAUGUUAUUUGGAAACUUUUAUUCUUUAACAAAGUUGCAUCAGAACAUUAUACCACCUUCAUGAACAAACCAGCAACUUGUUAAUCAGCCCUUACAAGUUUAUUUCUGUCAAUGCUAAAAUCUUGCAGUGUAAUUCCAAGUGAUCAUCUUCGAACAUUUUGAGCCGUGGCUUAGAGAGGAAUUUCAGCGUUUGUAGAUAAUCUUCAGGUAAAUGCACCAUUGGUGGCAGUCAAAACACAUGUCCUCCGUAAAAGCUUUUUCAUUUAGUCAAUAACAAUGAUGUGGCUUAUUCCACUUGCUGCUUGCACCAUACUGUUUAUGUGUACAGAGUGUUUACAAAGUCCUGUUAUCCCCAUAUUUUUCUCUACAGUCCACUGACCAACAACUGAAACAUGUGGAAGAAUGGUGAUAAUUGUAUUUAGAAGCACUUGAUUGUAUUCAGUACAAGUGUUUAGCUGUAUUUAGAUGGCCAGAGGAUUGGUCUGAGUGAGCGCAAUCAUUUUCAUGGCAGAUAAUGUUCAUUGCAACAUCUUCCAUAACAAAACUAAAGGGAUUAAGGGAUAUGGGGAUAGGGUGGCUAAAUGGAAUUAGGUUAGUAGAUCACCCAUGAUCCUAUUAAAUGGCAGUGCAGGCUUGAGGGCCGAAUGGCCUACUCCUGCUCCUAUUUCUUAUGUUCUUAUGUAAUAU